rnacentral:lncRNA from 1 species
CAAGCACAGCUGGAGCCGUGCUCUCCCCUCGCAGCUGGGAGGGGAACGGCCAGCGCCGCCGACAGCGAGCCGAGGGGCUGCCAGGAGGAGGGGCGCAAACACUGGGGGCUCCCGCGGGGCCGGAGGCGGCCCAGGCUGCACCAGGCCUUCCCCAGCACCUGCUGGCAGACAGCCGGGCCGGGCUUUCAGGGGUGCUUUCAGCCGGCGCUGCAGCCUGGCAGCUGCAGAAAAGCCUCAAGCUUGCUUCUGUGUCCCCCCAACCCCCGAACCCCCCCCCCCCCCAAUGCCCCCACUCAGAUCCCUGAGAACAUCCUCUGGACAGAAAUAGCCCCUGGCAAUCUUCUGCGCUCUCCGGGCUGCAGAGCCCAUGUACCAAUGGUGGCCUCUUGGAGCUGAGCCUCUCUUCUAGUCCUGGCUGGUGCCUGGGCUCCCAGAGCUCAUCCGCUUCCAUUCUCCGGCCUGUUGGCUUGAGAGGACUCGUAAGGCCUGGGAUGCAGAAUACUCGAUUGCCCAGCUGGUUGCUGUGGCGAUGGAGGUCUGGUUUGCAUCCUGCUCUGAAUGUUUCCGCUGCUGCCAUCUGCCACACAACUGAGUCCUUGCUGGCAAGAAGUAUAGUCGGGGCUCAGGCAUAGCAAGCCUGGCUCAGGUAGAAAUCUGGACAGUGCUGGGAAGCAUGGGUCUCCCCAGAGCCCACCCAGGCAGGACGGCAGUGAAAUCAUUCCUCGGCGUAGGCCAGGACCCGGAAAGGUGGAGCCAGAAGAGGAUUUAAACCUUAAGACUGACAUUCUCUUGGUGAUGCCUUGGGUAUUUCUAGGCUGUAGUCGGCAGAAAUCUUUUGUUCCGUGGCCUUUUCGAAAACACGAAGGCGUGACAAGUGACCUGUUCUGUGCAACCAGGGCGCUCUGUGAGCUCCUUCAGCAGUGCAGCCGCUCGCAGGAGGUGAAGGCCUUUUUCUCCCGCCUCUGCCUGGCCCUGCUCUUCCAGAUUGCCUUCACGGCAGAGCUCACGCCGCAAGACCUUGCUGUCUUCCGGAGGCAAUGCCACCGAUGGGACCCGUGCACUCCCACCAGCCCUGUCAGGUGCCCCCUCCCGCUUCCUCCAUCCCUCGCAUGCACCUGGAGCCAGGGCCGGGCUCCCAGUGUGAGCUAGCCUUUGCUCUGCGCACAGCUCUGCAGUGCAGACCCUGGAGUCUCUUUUCUGCUGCGCUGGCUACGAGCAUCAAGCCCUGCUCAUCAGGCAGCAGGGUGGCUGGCACAUGCUUCUCAGCGCUGAGGCCCUGCACUUGGGAGUCAUUGUAGUGGCCAGGUGAGAGCCCUCUUAGGCCAGCUCUGUGCCG